CGAAUAGACUCAAGAGCCUUAUGCCUUUCUUGAUUGGCACUACCCAAGCUAGCUUUAUUACUGGAUAGAGUAUCAUUGAUAAUAUUAUUAUUGCCCAAUAGAUGGUCCACUCAAUGCAGAAUUUGCAAGGAAAAAACAAGUGGAUGGCCAGUAUGGUAAACUUAGACAAAACACAUGAUCACAUCUGUUGGAGUAUGUUGAGGACACCCUGAUUGAUGUUGGUCUCCCUC
rnacentral:lncRNA from 1 species